GCAUCAAUGGGGUAGUGGUAACCUGGGUCGUUGCCAUAUGCGAACAUUAGUUCGACCCGCCGGGGGUUCGAUUCCCUCUUGAUGCA